rnacentral:rRNA from 1 species
CCUACGGGAGGCAGCAGUGGGGAAUAUUGGGCAAUGGGCGCAAGCCUGACCCAGCAAAGCAGCGUGAAGGAAGAAGGCUCUCGGGGUGUAAACCUCCUUUUAGAGGGAAGAGCAGAAGACGGUACCUCUUGAAUAAGACAUGGCUAACUACGUGCCAGCAGCCGCGGCAAUACGGAGGUGGCAAGCGUUGUCCGGAUUUACUGGGUGUAAAGGGCGUGUAGCCGGGAAGACAAGUCAGAUGUGAAAUCCCGCGGCUCAACCGCGGAACUGCAGUUGAAACUGGUUUUCUUGAGUACCGGAGAGGUCAUCGGAAUUCCUGGUGUAGCGGUGAAAUGCGUAGAUAUAAGGAAGAACACCAGUUGCGAAGGCGGAUGACUGGACGGCAACUGACGGUGAGGCGCGAAAGCGUGGGGAGCAAACAGGAUUAGAUACCCUAGUAGUC